UGAAUAGUUCAGCACCAUUUGACUAGAGUCAUUCAGUAGCCGACCCACAACCUUUUGAUCUUGAAUGAGUCCUAGCGACCCUCUCCAGUGCCCGAAUCAUGGCUUGGGACAGUGUGUCGUCCCUAGCCAUCAAAGUUAGGGACUUCGUAUUAGCAGUGGGAGUACCAACAGUCUCGCUGGUCUCCAAGUUGGGCAUGCUACCCAUGGAGGAUGACUCGGCUCGAGCUCCUCCUCGACGUCCUUGAUGCCCUCGCAUACCAC
rnacentral:lncRNA from 1 species